GGUUUGUUGUGUGCAGAGGUUAGCAUGUCUGCCUAUGACGCUGAACGCCUGGGUUCGAAUCCUGGCGAGACCA
rfam:Stomoxys calcitrans breed 8C7A2A5H3J4 unplaced genomic scaffold Scaffold1844, whole genome shotgun sequence.